UGUAUAUAAAGGAAUUCUGCC
rnacentral:piRNA from 1 species